rnacentral:rRNA from 1 species
AACGAACGCUGGCGGCAGGCUUAAUACAUGCAAGUCGAGCGGGCACUUCGGUGUCAGCGGCGCACGGGUGCGUAACGCGUGGGAACAUGCCUUUAGGUACGGAACAACCAAGGGAAACUUUGGCUAAUACCGUAUAAUAUCUCUGGAUCAAAGAUUUAUCGCCUAAAGAUUGGCCCGCGUUAGAUUAGGUAGUUGGUGGGGUAAUGGCCUACCAAGCCGACGAUCUAUAGGGGGUCUGAGAGGAUGAUCCCCCACACUGGAACUGAGACACGGUCCAGACUCCUACGGGAGGCAGCAGUAAGGAAUAUUGGACAAUGGACGAAAGCCUGAUCCAGCCAUGCCGCGUGAGUGAUGAAGGCCUUAGGGUUGUAAAGCUCUUUUAGAUGGGAAGAUAAUGACUGUACCAUCAGAAUAAGCCCCGGCUAAAUUCGUG